rnacentral:rRNA from 1 species
AUAGAUCAACUUACCCUAUUGAGAAAGAUAACCUCGGGAAACUGAGGAUAAUAUUUCAUAGUUGAAUUGGCUUGGAAAAGUUUUUCAACAAAAGGGAUAGGGAAAAUGGUCUCUAUCCGCUAUAGGAUAGGAUCGUGUUCGAUUAUGGUAGUUGGUGAGGUAACGGCUCACCAAGCCGAUAAUCGAUAGGGGCCGUGAGAGCGGGAGCCCCGAGAUGGGUACUGAGACAACGACCCAGGCCUUACGAGGCGCAGCAGGUACGAAACCUCCACAAUACACGAAAGUGUGAUGGGGUUACCCAAAGUGUUCAUUAUUGAACUGUGGCAGGAGAGUAAUGUCCCCUACUAGAAAGGAGAGGGCAAGGCUGGUGCCAGCCGCCGCGGUAAAACCAGCUCUUCAAGUGGUCGGGAUAAUUAUCGGGCUUAAAGUGUCCGUAGCCGGUUUGGUAAGUUCCUGGUAAAAUCGGAUAGCUUAACUAUCUGUAUGCUAGGAAUACUGCUAUACUAGAGGGCGGGAGAGGUCUGAGGUACUACAGGGGUAGGGGUGAAAUCUUAUAAUCCUUGCAGGACCACCAGUGGCGAAGGCGUCAGACUGGAACGCGCCUGACGGUGAGGGACGAAAGCCAGGGGAGCGAACCGGAUUAGAUACCCGGGUAGUCCUGGCCGUAAACGAUGCAUACUAGGUGAUGGUACAGCUAUGAGCCAUAUCAGUGCCGUAGGGAAACCGUUAAGUGUGCCGCCUGGGAAGUACGGUCGCAAGGCUAAAACUUAAAGGAAUUGGCGGAGGAGCACCACAAGGGGUGAAGCCUGCGGUUCAAUUGGAGUCAACGCCGGA